AUGAUAAGUGAUUAAUACAGCUUAAAAAUAUGAUAAGUUAGUGACUAAUUUUGAUAGUGUCUCAGGAAUUGACACUAUGGACUCUAAUUUAAUCUCGUGCAGCAUUGUUAACCCAUCCAUUGCGAGUGAUCUUAAAUCAGGGCUUCAACACGAUUUGGAUCAACAAGACCAUGCCGCACUGUUGAUAGACCAGCAACAUAGGAUGGAUAAAGAGAGGCAAAAAAGGAAGGAAAAAAGAAAGAAGAGGAAAAAUUAUGAUUAUUAUUGAUGAUUGAUGAUACAGAAUUUAUUAAUAUUGGAUUAGAAUCAAAAAAUGGCUACAUAAUUUAAUAGUUAGCUAUCAUGAUCUGUUCUGGUUAUUGUUGCAGAUAUAAUCACAAUAAUCAUCAUCGAUAUCAACACUUCUACUCAAUAUGGAUACUGAACAAUGUGAUGAAAAAAAAUCCGGAUGAUGAUUAUUUGAUGACGAUAAAGAUUAUUUUAAUUGGUCAAUUCGUGAUGAGAAUUAAAUACAUUUUACAUUGAACAUACAUCACUACUAUCUCCUGAAUGGCCUAAAUCUAUUACUCUGAGUUAACUUUUUUUAUAUUAGAAUUACUAUGAUCAUUAUGAUCAUUAUGAUUAUUGUGAUUAUGAUAAUUAUAAUGUAUCAUUACAUUAUUAGUAUAAUUAUUAAUGAGUAAUCUUUGUUAGCUAGGAAAUGUACAAAAUGAAAGAUAAUAAAAUUGUAAAGAAUGUACUGGUGAAAAAUGGGUGCUG